UCUGCAUUUUCCUAUUCAAAAACCUUAAUCUUCAACAUUAAACCAUUUUCUAUAAAUUAAAUAUCUCCUACCUAAAUGAGGGAAGCAAUGAAAUGAGAUUUAAUACAUCAAGAUAUUAAAAAAACCCCAUAAUCUUAUAGAUUUAACUAAUACAUCAAACAAGGAUUGUUGUCUUCUCUAUUCAGGAUAGUAGUGAUGAGUAAUGGAAUAUCUAUCCUUGUAUGUACUCUCUCUUUUCAUGAUUUUCUACUGAAUAACUAUCACAGACUACUAAAGCAUUUUCUGUCCUGUUCAAAUUUGAGCUCAAGGAGGCACCUUUGCUGCAUUCCCUUUUACAAAUAUCCAGGACCAGUGAUAUGUUUGUUACUUGACUGAAAACCUCUAGUCCGAUCUCAGGAAUGUAGUGGUUGUCAGCUAUCUUUUUUUCUGCAACUGUAGCUCAAGUCACCAGCACUACAUUGUAAUGGUGGAAAAUCUAGGUGUGCCUUCAGUUUAAUUUUUCCAGCAUAAUUCCUUGUAGGUGGCGGGAAAAAUUCUGAAAAAAUGAAAAAAGCUACAGAACUUCAUCAGCAAAACUAGAGGCCGAUUGGUCCAAUUCCUGCAUGACAGAAGUCAGGAGACAUUGAAGUUGUUAAACUCUAAAAAAUGGGUGGGAACUGCUUGAGAGUGUGUGCGUGUGUAUUUAGUUUUUUUUCUGGUAGAAUUAAGUUACCUGAUGUGGGCACUGGUUUUCUCAUUUGCUUGGGGGCUGGCUCAUCAAUGUAAAUGACAACAGCAUCAGAN
rnacentral:lncRNA from 1 species